rnacentral:lncRNA from 9 species
GUCUGGUAAUUUUUGUCUUGGCCCGAAGAUAACUUUGAGUUCCGUCUCCUUGAAGGAGCCUUGAAGUCAACAGUUUGUACUAGCCAACUCCUCUUCCUCAUUGAUAACCCAAUUUAUGUCUUUCAGGAUUGUUUUGAACAUCAAAGUACGCAAAGCUAGUUGCUGGGUACCUGGCCUAUAAUGACCAUCUAUCAUUAUUAUUAUUGUGGCUAAAUAAUGAGAGAAUGAAUAACAUUUUUGCAGAGUUUUUAGAGAUAGACAAGGUAGAAUUAUUGUGACGUAUCAAGGAAAUGGAAAGAAAAUCCAUGUUUUAUGUCUGUUCCCUGAGUCUGUAGCCCAAAGAUCUGAGGAAUUUCAAAUUUGUACUUACUAAUUGCUUUCAUUUGAACACAUUAAACAUUUCACUGGAGCUAUUUGAGAUUUUACAGCUCUUUCUCAUCUCAUGUUGAGAGUGAAAAGGCGUGAUUUUCAGAGAUGAAUUGAGUCCACCUAAGCAUGAAUGAGAGGAGCAGAGCAAGUUCCCUUCUGGCAUCAUUUCAGAGAUUAGUAAUUUGUGAAACUCUGAUGAUGCAAGGAACAGCAUAGAAAGCCAUUUCUUUCCCUUUUGUCCAGUCUAAAUGCAAAUUUGAACUUUUGUGGCCGUUUGUUUGCAUGUUAAUGCCUGUGCUCUGUCACCCUGGAGUGCUUUAGACUUUCUAAAUUAGGUUGGUGGGUGAUCUAAGGAAGGGGUCAUUGCAUUGCAUAGGCUCCCUUUCGGAGGCACAGUGCACAGAACGGGGAAAUUCACAGGAGCUUUACUUUGUCCCAGGAAUGGUAGCCUGGCUCAGGGCCCAGGAGAAGGAGUGUCAAGGGCCAGCAGCUGGUCAGACGUAGCCUCCUGCGGGGUCUCCCUGAAGAUGGAAAAAUGCAGCAAAAGAAGAAAGGCUACAGUUUUUGAGCUGUGCUAUUGUACCAGAUGCUGGGAGAAGUGCUUAAGGUCUUAGAUUCCGGAAUUGAAGAGGGCCAGAUCUGAAUAGCAGGUAUGCCAUUUACUAGCUAUGUGACCUUAGUCUGAUUAUGUAAUUGACAUCUCUCGGAGGCAUUUUCUUUAUUUGAAAACUCUUUGAAAUAAUGGUAGCUUUCUCACUGGUUGUGCUUUCAAUUAAAUAGAGACGGUAAGUGAAAAGCUUAGCAAGGUACCAGGCGUAUGGUAAAUGAUCCAUAAAUAUUAUUUGUGU